AAAAAAACGAUUCUAGAACUGGAUGUGACAUACUCUAGUACAAUGAAUCUGGAUAGAGGUAUAUCCAGAUUCGUAGUACUAGGAUAUGUCACAUCCAGUACUAGAUUGAUUUUUUU
rnacentral:pre_miRNA from 1 species